CGCGUAGGCGGGCUGCCAAGUCAGGGGUGAAAUCCUCCGGCUCAACCGGAGAACAGCCCCUGAUACUGGCGGCCUCGAGGGAGGUAGGGGCCGAUGGAACUUCCGGUGGAGCGGUGAAAUGCGUAGAUAUCGGAAGGAACGCCGGUGGCGAAAGCGAUCGGCUGGACCUCUUCUGACGCUGAGGCGCGAAAGCCAGGGGAGCAAAACGG
rnacentral:rRNA from 1 species